rnacentral:rRNA from 1 species
UACGUAGGGAGCAAGCGUUGUCCGGAUUUACUGGGUGUAAAGGGUGCGUAGGCGGCCCUGCAAGUCAGAAGUGAAAUCCAUGGGCUUAACCCGUGAACUGCUUUUGAAACUGUAGGGCUUGAAUGAAGUAGAGGCAGGCGGAAUUCCCGGUGUAGCGGUGAAAUGCGUAGAGAUCGGGAGGAACACCAGUGGCGAAGGCGGCCUGCUGGGCUUUAACUGACGCUGAAGCACGAAAGCGUGGGUAGCAAACAGG